GACAGAGGGGGCAAGCGUUGCUCGGAAUUACUGGGCGUAAAGGGCGCGUAGGCGGGAGUGGCAAGUCGGUCGUGAAAUCCCUCGGCUCAACUGAGGAUCGUCGAUCGAUACUGCCGUUCUUGAGGAUUGCAGAGGAGACUGGAAUUCCCGGUGUAGCGGUGAAAUGUGUAGAGAUCGGGAGGAACACCGGUGGCGAAGGCGGGUCUCUGGGCA
rnacentral:rRNA from 1 species